AAUUCAUUGCUAGUCAAAGCCUGUUUCCAGAGAUGCGCAUCAGAGCCAGCUCUUCAGUUCUGGGAGCAAUGAGUCAAUGCCUGAUUCCACAGAUGCCUAUCAGCUGCCCUUACAUGCACUAUGA